rnacentral:rRNA from 1 species
AACGAACGCUGGCGGCAUGCCUAACACAUGCAAGUCGAACGAGAUCUUCGGGUCUAGUGGCGCACGGGUGCGUAACGCGUGGGAAUCUGCCCUUUGGUUCGGAAUAACAGUUGGAAACGACUGCUAAUACCGGAUGAUGACGAAAGUCCAAAGAUUUAUCGCCAGAGGAUGAGCCCGCGUAGGAUUAGCUAGUUGGUGUGGUAAAGGCGCACCAAGGCGACGAUCCUUAGCUGGUCUGAGAGGACGAUCAGCCACACUGGGACUGAGACACGGCCCAGACUACUACGGGAGGCAGCAGUGGGGAAUAUUGGACAAUUGGCGAAAGCCUGAUCCAGCAAUGCCGCGUGAGUGAUGAAGGCCUUAGGGUUGUAAAGCUCUUUUACCCGGGAUGAUAAUGACAGUACCGGGAGAAUAAGCUCCGGCUAACUCCGUGCCAGCCGCCGCCGUAA